CCCAGGGCCAGCAGCAGCUCCACGCACUCCGCCUGCUCUGGGGCGCCAGAGCCGCCCUCCCUGCAGGGACCAGAUGCAGUGAGCCGCAGCCUCAUCUCAUUCUGGGAUAGGAAAUGGUCCUUGGCACCAGCAGACCCUUAGCCUGAUGGAGGUGGCUGUGCAGCUGUGCAGACCUCUGGGCUCCAGGCCCCAGCCAGGUGGAAGUUGCUGUGCAGCUGUGCAGACCUCUGGGCACCCUGCUUUUGUUAUUCCCAAUAGAAUUCUGGAGCUGCUGACCAGGAUUCCAAAUGGGAAAGACCAACUGUCAUCAGUCUAACUACACUGAGAAUAAACUGCUUCACUUCUCUC